UACGUAGGGUGCAGGCGUUAAUCGGAAUUACUGGGCGUAAAGCGUGCGCAGGCGGUUUCUUAAGUCAGAUGUGAAAGCCCCGGGCUUAACCUGGGAACUGCGUUUGAAACUGGGAGACUUGAGUGUGGCAGAGGGGGGUGGAAUUCCACGUGUAGCAGUGAAAUGCGUAGAUAUGUGGAGGAACACCGGUGGCGAAGGCGGCCCCCUGGUUGGAUACUGACGCUGAGACGCGAAAGCGUGGGGAGCAAACAGG
rnacentral:rRNA from 1 species